rnacentral:rRNA from 1 species
UGGGGAAUAUUGGGGAAUGGGGGAAACCCUGACCCAGCGACGCCGCGUGAGGGAAGAAGGCCUUAGGGUCGUAAACCUCUGUUGUGUGGGAAGAAGAGCGUGACGGUACCACACGAGGAAGUCCCGGCUAACUACGUGUCAGCAGCCGCGGUAAUACGUAGGGGACGAGCGUUGUCCGGAUUUACUGGGCGUAAAGGGCGCGUAGGCGGUCAUUUAAGUCAGCUGUGAAAUGGUUUGGCUUAACCGGAUCAUGCGGUUGAAACUGGAUGACUGGAGUGCUGGAGAGGGAAGUGGAAUU